rnacentral:rRNA from 1 species
GUGGAGGAACACCAAUGGCGAAGGCAGCCCCCUGGGAUAACACUGACGCUCAUGCACGAAAGCGUGGGGAGCAAACAGGAUUAGAUACCCUGGUAGUCCACGCCCUAAACGAUGCUGACUAGUUGUUGGGAAUUUACAUUCUCAGUAACGUAGCUAACGCGUGAAGUCAGCCGCCUGGGGAGUACGGUCGCAAGAUUAAAACUCAAAGGAAUUGACGGGGACCCGCACAAGCGGUGGAUGAUGUGGAUUAAUUCGAUGCAACGCGAAAAACCUUACCUACCCUUGACAUGUCACUAACGAAGUAGAGAUACAUUAGGUGCCCGUAAGGGAAAGUGAACACAGGUGCUGCAUGGCCGUCGUCAGCUCGUGUCGUGAGAUGUUGGGUUAAGUCCCGCAACGAGCGCAACCCUUGUCUUUAGUUGCUACGCAAGAGCACUCUAAAGAGACUGCCGGUGACAAACCGGAGGAAGGUGGGGAUGACGUCAAGUCCUCAUGGCCCUUAUGGGUAGGGCUUCAC